AACCCGGUAAAAUUUACUCAGUUCAACCCCUAAACAAAACCCAAUACAAAAAUGCAAACUCAACAGAGUAAACUCAAUACGAAACCUAUUUCAACCCCUAAACAAAUCUCUAUCUCCUUCAAACGCUGUCUCCAUCUCUCUGUCUCUGUCUCUCCUUCAAAUGCAAAUUCAACCCCUAAACAAAUCUCUAUCUCCUUUAAACGCUGUCUCUGUCUCUCUUCCCCUGCGACGGUAAACGAAUUCAACUAAGCUACAAACGCUUUGCCUCACAACCAACGGCUACAGGUCCCCAUUUGCCCAGUCUUUGGACCACAUUCCCAAGAAGUUCAGGGAAGAAAAUCUUAAAGAUGGAUGGCAGCCAAGUAGGCGAAUUUACAGGACAAGUCUGGAACUUUGGUAGAAGAAAGGGUGGUGAAAAUGGACAAAUAUAGCCAAGGCUUUGUGGUUGAGUUUCUAUUUCCUUUGAUAAUUUUGAGAAGCUGCCAAGGCUUUUGGUGUGGGCAUGGGAGGAAACCUUGCCGCUUUUACUUCAAAGUAGUUGUUUUCAUGGUAAAUUUUAAUCAAUCUCAUACUCAGGUACAUGGAUAGGAGAAUCGUCUAAUACAGGUUUCUUUUAAAUGUGCUAAUAGUAGGAGCUUCUUUACUAUUCUAUUUUCUGUAGGUUAUUUAUAGCUCCUGACAGCGAUUAUAUCUCCACAGCUAUACAGUUCAUCAAUAAGGCAAGGCCAUGGAUUACAUUGAUGGUCAUUGGCUGGGAAUAUGGUGCAAACAUGUUGACGAAGUACUUGGCAGAAGCUGGAGAGAAUACAUCGCUUACAGCUACCAUGUGCAUAGACAAUCCAUUUGACUUAGAGGAGGCUACAAGGUCCUUUCCUUAUCACAUGGCCAUUGGUCAAAAGUUCACUGUUGGACUGAUAGAUAUUCUAAGAUCUAAUAAGGAAACCCCCAAAUCAAAAACCAUAGCCCCUUCCUAUCAAAAAAGAAAAAAAGAAGAAGAAGAAGGAAAACAAUAGCUUCUCAUCCAUUUCUCUCUCCAAUCUCUAUGCUUCGCCUUUAGUGCACCUUCUCCUUUGUCUCUGCUCCUAAUGAUGAAUUGGGAUUGAAGGGAGCAAAAUCAAGAUGCUGUGGACGUCCUCUUUUGAUUCAAAUUCAUAAAAGCUUCCUUACUCUCUUUCUCUCUCCAUGUGGCGUGAGGUCAAAUAUUUGCUUUCUCUGUUCUAAAUAACAAUUUAUAGAACUCAAUGUUUUAUGUUAAAUAAAUAUAUGAUGUACUCUUCUAUAUAAUGCAGAUUUGUUGUAUUAUAUUCUUUCUCUACUCUUUUUGAGUCAUAGCAAAAGAAUUUGACAUUAGUAACUAUAUUCUAUUUAUUUAUUAUGAAAAUAAGAUUGUGAUCAUUAUUGCAAUUUUUUUAUUUGUUUAUUCAUAGAAUAUAUGUAACUAUGAAAAUAUCUUCAUUGCCAAUGGAUCUAUGGUAGUGGUAUUAAUCUUUUCGGCAUGUAUGUAUUUUUAUGGAGCUAAUAUACAGGAUUUCUUUUAUUGGGCACAAGCAUAUUGUG